ensembl:lncRNA
AGAAUCCAAGCUGCUAAACGAGGGAGAGGGCAGUGAGCAAACAACUGCAUGGUGUUCAGCUGCCUGCCAGUUAAAGCACAGCAAUAAUAGCAGGGGGAAAAGAAGUACCUGACCUGAGAAAGACCCAACUAUCGAUGGCAGAAGGGGAAGUGAAGAUGGCAGAAGUGUGGGAAACCUCACAGCCAGUCAAAGCCAACAACACUGAAUUAAGAUGUCGUUAUCAGCCAUCUGUUCCUGGUCCUGCUCUCAAUUUCUUCCAUCAAAGAAAUAAUUCCAGACAUGAAACACCUCAUUGGAGCAACAAUCACCUGAAACUGCCAGAGUGCUGCAAUGCAACAGUGGGCCUGGCUUGCAGGGAGCAAUUGAAGGAACUUUUUCUGAUAUGCUGGUGUCACCAUAUACAGCAGGUGGGAAGCAAGACUCAGAAUGAGAAGGCUGUGAAGUUCUGCUGGCCCCACUGUUGGUGACACCUCUGCCUAACUCCUAACGGAUGCACUGAGCCCCCAGACCACAGAUCUCUCAUGGGAGAAGGUGAAGAGCAGCCCUCCCUCAAUGUUGCUCUUACAGGGCUUCUCAGAUCCCUUGUCCCACAACCUGCAACCCAAGGCUGGGAUUUACAUCGUGUCACCUGCUGAAUCCUUGGGGAGAACAGCUCAUCUCAAACAAUCUCAUCAAAACAGGAAAUUUUAAACAGAUAUCAAAUGGGAACAAAAGAACACUUCUGAGGAUCGUACACCCUUGGGAUACUCACAUACUGGCGGUCCAAAACUGCUCUGUGAACAGUGUUUAAAAGUGUUUUGGGACAUUUUUGGCAGUAGCAUUAUUUUUCUUUUGAGAAUGACUUUCUGACAAUGCUUUUGCUCAAUUCUCCACUUUUCAGUAACAAACCUUUUCUUAGAGAAGUCAAAUUUUUAUCAUACUUAAUGUACAUAACAGAUUUAGAAAUAACCAACCAGAGGAAAUGCACACAUACCUUUGAAGUACUGACAUUCUGUAAGCCCAAAUUCCCAAGCACUAAAAGAUGUACAUGCUAGAAGGUUGGAUUUGCCCACUAAAAUCUGAACAUUUCUGGUAUUGCAUCUAAUCCAAUAAUCACACUUGUACAGUGUCGCUCUUACACUGUACAGAAUGUACAGAACAAGUCCAGGUAAAUGAGGAACAGCAGUGAUCUUGGCUUUACUGAUCAGCUAACACCAACCAGUGGCCUAGGAAGCCCAAGAAUGCCAGGAUAAGCUUAGCACUAACACAGCAUUUACUACACUUAAAUGUCCAGUGACCAAACAAAGUAUUUCAAAUCUAAUUCUACUCCUGUGAGACUAAUUGUGCUUUCCUUGAGAUGCAUUAUUUUGAUGUCUUCUGUGUCUCUAAAUAGGGAUAUUUUCAUUGAUAUUUAAAAAAAAAUACACUGAAGCUACUUAAUCCUCAAAUCCCUUCAGUUUCUCACUGUAAGAAUAUCACAAGGAAAAUUAAGAACACUGAUUUGAUAACAAAAACAGGGACACAUUGAAAUUAGGGUGGAAACUACUGUGUCAUUUCACUGCUCUGGAGAUUAACAUACAAAAUCAAAAGCUCCAGAUGCAACUAACAGUGCGAAUGGAAUCGCUUGAAUUCACACCCUUUCAGAUACGUACAGCUGCUUUUGGUCUCCUUGUGGGCACAGAGGGAUGAGAAGUCAAAGCAAAGCACACCUGAACAGUAUCUAGCGAAUGAGAUUUCUGGCUGUUGAAAACCUCUGUGAGCUUGUAAGCCCCGAUUACCAGUUCCGCUUCUCAAAUGAAAAGCUCUAAGUGCUAUUUAUUUAUGGAUUCCUCUGAAUGCCAGCAAAGCUAUGUCUUACUUUGAGUCCUGACUUGCAUUAACUCUCACUUGUUUGUAGAUAUUCUUCUGUUCACUGUCACACCAGAUCUUUGCACAAUAGGUGGACCCUAAACAACAGUAUUUUCAACCAUAUGAACGUAUUUCAAAGUAUAGACCUCACCUUAGAUCUCGAGGGAGGAUCAAGGUGACUGACAAAUACGCACUUAAAGCAUCUGUCAGUUCCAAUGACCCAAGUUUGAACUGGAGCAAAGCUGUUGUUGUAGCACUCAAGUGAAGGUGUUAAAAAGAUCAUUUUCUAUGUAACAGUUCCUCUUAAGGAAACUGUAUAUAACAUAGCAACUUCCAGGCUGAUCCAUGAAAGUCAAGCACCAUUACUGCUGCACCAUACUCUACCAAUCAGUAUUGACUGCACAAUGAUAGACCAUUCCAUACGUCAGCUCAAAAGACUGCACUCCAAAUGAGAUAAAAGUGCAUUACUUUCUCACUUACUAAGUUGCACUGCACAGCUGCAGUGGGCCUAUUCUAGGUAGCCAGAAUAAUUUAAAUUUCCAGAAGAAAACAAAAAUGAUUUCUUUUGCCUACUGAGAGAUUCUCGAUUUUUGUUACAGUGUUAGAAGAUACAGUGCUACCAGAUACACCAUUCCAGAUCCUGCUUUGUUCCAAAGAACUUGAUCAUUACAUAUAUUUCACAACAAAUAAACCAGUAUGUCU